UAGGGAAUCUUCCGCAAUGGACGCAAGUCUGACGGAGCAACGCCGCGUGAGUGAAGAAGGAUUUCGGUUCGUAAAACUCUGUUGUUAGAGAAGAACAGCGCAUAGAGUAACUGUUAUGCGUGUGACGGUAUCUAACCAGAAAGCCACGGCUAACUACGUGCCAGCAGCCGCGGUAAUACGUAGGGCGCAAGCGUUAUCCGGAAUUAUUGGGCGUAAAGAGCUUGUAGGAGGUUCGUCGCGUCUGGUGUGAAAGCCCAUCGCUUAACGGUGGGUUUGCGCCGGGUACGGGCGGGCUAGAGUGCAGUAGGGGAGACUGGAAUUCCCGGUGUAACGGUGGAAUGUGUAGAUAUCGGGAAGAACACCAAUGGCGAAGGCAGGUCUCUGGGCUGUUACUGACGCUGAGGCUCGAAAGCGUGGGGAGCGAACAGG
rnacentral:rRNA from 1 species